GUUUGAUCCUGGCUCAGAACGAACGCUGGCGGCGUGGAUAAGACAUGCAAGUCGAACGAGACUUUUCGUUGUAGCAAUACGAUGGAAAGUUUAGUGGCGAACGGGUGCUUAACACGUGGGCAACCUGCCAGGAAGUGGGGGAUAGCUCGCCGAAAGGCGAAUUAAUACCGCAUGUGAUUAGAGAGGACAUCCUUUCAAAAUUAAAGUCGGGGCAUCCUGACGCUUCUUGUGGGGCCCGCGGCCUAUCAGCUAGUUGGUGAGGUAACGGCCCACCAAGGCUUUGACGGGUAGCUGGUCUGAGAGGACGACCAGCCACACUGGGACUGAGACACGGCCCAGACACCUACGGGUGGCAGCAGUCGAGAAUUUUUGACAAUGGGGGAAACCCUGAUCGAGCG
rnacentral:rRNA from 1 species